GGUGCUUGCACCGCUGACGAGUGGCGAACGGGUGAGUAAUACAUCGGAAUGUACCCAGUAAUGGGGGAUAACGCUUCGAAAGGAGUGCUAAUACCGCAUACGCCCUGAGGGGGAAAGUGGGGGACCGCAAGGCCUCACGUUAUUGGAGCAGCCGAUGGCUGAUUAGCUAGUUGGUAGGGUAAAGGCCUACCAAGGCAACGAUCAGUAGCGGGUCUUAGAGGACGAUCCGCCACACUGGAACUGAGACACGGUCCAGACUCCUACGGGAGGCAGCAGUGGGGAAUCUUGGACAAUGGGCGAAAGCCUGAUCCAGCAAUGCCGCGUGCGUGAAGAAGGCCUUCGGGUUGUAAAGCGCUUUUGUCGGGGAGGAAAUCCUAGUGCCUAAUAAGUGCUGGGGAUGACAGUACCCGAAGAAUAAGGACCGGCUAACUACGUGCCAGCAGCCGCGGUAAUACGUAGGGUCCAAGCGUUAAUCGGAAUUACUGGGCGUAAAGCGUCCGCAGGUGGCUUGAUAAGAUAGACGUGAAAUCCCUGGGCUCAACCUAGGAAUUGCGUUUAUGACUGUCUCGCUAGAGUAUGGGAGAGGGGGGUGGAAUUCCACGUGUAGCAGUGAAAUGCGUAGAGAUGUGGAGGAACACCGAUGGCGAAGGCAACCCCCUGGCCUAAUACUGACACUCAUGGACGAAAGCGUGGGGAGCAAACAGGAUUAGAUACCCUGGUAGUCCACGCCCUAAACGAUGUCUACUAGUUGUUGGGC
rnacentral:rRNA from 1 species